GAUGAACGCUAGCUACAGGCUUAACACAUGCAAGUCGAGGGGAAACGAUAGAGAAAGCUUGCUUUUUCUAGGCGUCGACCGGCGCACGGGUGAGUAACGCGUAUCCAACCUGCCCAUCACUUGGGGAUAACCUUGCGAAAGUAAGACUAAUACCCAAUGAUAUCUCUAGAAGACAUCUGAAAGGGAUUAAAGAUUUAUCGGUGAUGGAUGGGGAUGCGUCUGAUUAGCUUGUUGGCGGGGUAACGGCCCACCAAGGCGACGAUCAGUAGGGGUUCUGAGAGGAAGGUCCCCCACAUUGGAACUGAGACACGGUCCAAACUCCUACGGGAGGCAGCAGUGAGGAAUAUUGGUCAAUGGGCGAGAGCCUGAACCAGCCAAGUAGCGUGCAGGAUGACGGCCCUAUGGGUUGUAAACUGCUUUUAUAAGGGAAUAAAGUGAGUCUCGUGAGACUUUUCGCAUGUACCUUAUGAAUAAGGACCGGCUAAUUCCGUGCCAGCCGCCGCGGUAA
rnacentral:rRNA from 1 species